AUUCCAGCUCCAAUAGCGUAUAUUAAAGUUGUUGCGGUUAAAAAGCUCGUAGUUGGAUUUCUGUUGAGGACGGCCGGUCCGCACUAUGUGCGUGUAUCUGGUUCGGCCUUGGCAUCCUCUUGAGGAACGUAUCUGCGCUUGAUUGCGUGGAGCGGUAUUCAAGACUUUUACUUUGAGGAAAUUAGAGUGUUCACGGCAGGCAAGCGCCUUGAAUACGUUAGCAUGGAAUGAUAAUAUAGGAUCUUGGUUCUAUUUUGUUGGUCUCUAGAGCUAAGGUAAUGAUUAAUAGGGAUAAUUGGGGGCAUUUGUAUUAACGCGUCAGAGGUGGAAUUCUUGGAUUGCGUUACGACAAACUACUGCGAAAGCAUUUGCCAAGGAUGUUUUCAUCG
rnacentral:rRNA from 1 species